rnacentral:rRNA from 1 species
GACGAACGCGGCGGCGUGCCUAAUACAUGCAAGUCGAGCGGAGUUGAAAAAAAGUUUACUUUUUUUCUUCUCAGCGGCGGACGGGUGAGUAACACGUGGGCAACCUGCCCUGUAGACUGGGAUAACUUCGGGAAACCGAAGCUAAUACCGGAUAAUCAUAGAAGUUGCAUAGCUUCUAUGUAAAAGUUGGGUUUACCUAACACUACAGGAUGGGCCCGCGUCGCAUUAGCUAGUUGGUAAGGUAACGGCUUACCAAGGCGACGAUGCGUAGCCGACCUGAGAGGGUGAUCGGCCACACUGGGACUGAGACACGGCCCAGACUCCUACGGGAGGCAGCAGUAGGGAAUCUUCCGCAAUGGACGAAAGUCUGACGGAGCAACGCCGCGUGAGCGAUGAAGGCCUUCGGGUCGUAAAGCUCUGUUGUUAGGGAAGAACAAGUGCUAUUUCGAAUAGGGU